rnacentral:rRNA from 1 species
UGCUAUCGGGAUAGGACUAAGACAUGCUAGUUGAGCGCUUCCAGCCAACACGGGAGCGCAGCGCACAGCUCAGUAACACGUGGCUAAUCUGCCCUUGGGACCGGAACAACCCCGGGAAACUGGGGAUAAUUCUCGAUAGGUGAAGAACUCUGGAAUGAGUCUUUGCUUAAAAGACGUUUGCGUUAUGCUCGUAAGCGUCGCCCAAGGAUGAGGCCGGCGACCGAUCAGGUUGUUGGUGAGGUAAUGGCUCACCAAGCCUUUUACCGGUGCGGGCCGUGAGAGCGGGAGCCCGGAGAUGGGCACUGAGACAAGGGCCCAGGCCCUACGGGGCGCAGCAGUCGCGAAAACUUUGCAAUACACGAAAGUGUGACAGGGCUAUCCCGAGUGCCAUCCGCUGAGGAAGGCUUUUACCCAGUCUAGAACGCUGGGGGAAUAAGGAGAGGGCAAGUCUGGUGUCAGCCGCCGCGGUAAUACCAGCUCUCCGAGUGGUGUGGAUGUUUAUUGGGCCUAAAGCAUCCGUAGCUGGCUAGGUUAGUCCCCUGUUAAAUCCACCGAAUUAAUCGUUGGAUUGCGGGGGAUACUGCUUGGCUAGGGGACGAGAGAGGCAGACGGUAUUUCCGGGGUAGGGGUGAAAUCCUAUAAUCCCGGGAGGACCACCAGUGGCGAAGGCUGUCUGCUAGAACGCGCCCGACGGUGAGGGAUGAAAGCUGGGGGAGCGAACCGGAUUAGAUACCCGGGUAGUCCCAGCUGUAAACGAUGCAGACUAGGUGUUUGGACGGCCACGUGCCGUUCUAGUGCCGCAGGGAAGCUGUUAAGUCUGCCGCCUGGGGAGUACGAUCGCAAGAUUGAAACUUAAAGGAAUUGGCGGGGGAGCACCACAAGGGGUGAAGCUGC